GAAGAAAGAAAAAAGUUUUUUUUAAAUUACAAUUUAUAAGUAAUAAUAUAUUGAUUGCUGCCUUGUUCUAUAUAAAUGUAACUAACAUACAUUUAUAUAGAACAAACUUACUCAUUUUGUUUAAACUACUACAUUAUCAACAGACAGGUUUGACUGGCAAUAUAACUUUUUGUUUAUUUAUUUAGCCGUAUUUUCACAAGUUUCGUGUUUAUAAUAUGUAUAUAAUUGGCAAGGAUGUGAAGGAAACAGGUUUCUAAAUGAUGUUGUAGAUCAUGCAGAUAGUUUGGGCGAAAAAGAAGAAAUAAUCUUAUUGGUGAAAUAGACAAUGAUACUAACUGUGGUGAAAAUAGUAAUGAAUAUCAAAAUAUAAAUGGUACUUUGUUCGAUGUUUUUCUGGUUCUACAGACGCAAUUAGUGGUGCAAUCUCUCUUAUAAAUGGACUUGAUGUUUUUUUGGAUUUAAUAUGUUGUAUUAA